GGGGCAUCAAUGAGGAGAUAAUUAAAUGUUAUCCUUGCACUUUGAUUGUCAGUGAAGAAACAUAGUGGGCAAUGUUCUCUCUGAGAUGCUC
rnacentral:snoRNA from 1 species